rnacentral:lncRNA from 1 species
UUAUAGGAGUGCAAUUGUGGAAGGAUGUGAAGGUGAAAAUAGCAAUAGCAGAAGAAAUGAUGGUAAGUCAAUUGUUUUCUUUAGCCAAAUGUUAUGAAUUUAGUUCCUCCGCUUUAAUGUUGUAUUUGUCUUUCCAUUCAAAUAGAAAAUUUGGGACUUAGAUGACAUUGAAGAUGCUAUUGAAAAGAUAUGGGCAAUUGCCAAAGAGAGGUACAAAGGAUGGAGAGCUU